UAAAAGUCGUAACAAGGUUUCCGUAGGUGAACCUGCGGAAGGAUCAUUACCGUUCGUCAUCUUUUGACAAAACCACUGUGAAUCGUACCAAGCAGGAGGGGUAACGCGUUUCGUGUUUUAAAUGAUCGAGCGAUCGAUCGGCCCCACUGCGCAUCCAACUAUGUGAUUUUUUCUAACACACUUGUGUUCUCCUGUGUUGCUUUGCAAAAAGCAAAAACUAAACGUGACAACUUCUAACGGUGGAUCUCUUGGCUCGUGCAUCGAUGAAGAACGUAGCCAGUUGCGAUAAGUAGUGUGAAUUGCAGAAUUCAGUGAAUCAUCGAAUCUUUGAACGCAAAUUGCGCUCUCUGGAUAUCCAGGGAGCAUGCCUGUCUGAGCGUCGUUAAUCAAUCUACACACUCCGGUGUGGAUAGGGAGUUCAUGCGCGUACGUCAGUUUGCGCCUGUCUUUCCAUGUUUCUGAACCCUGUGGUACUCCGUCGGUACUGCUUGGAAGGCUCAACUCGUUUCUGUCCUUCUGACGCGUGUGCACUGUACGAGUAGUACUGCUCUCGGGUUGAUUCGCUUGCAGCAACCCUGCUGCUAGCAAUUCUUUGUUUUGACCUCAGAUCAGACAAGACUACCCGCUGAAUUUAAGCAUAUCAAUA
rnacentral:rRNA from 1 species